GCGCACCAGUCGAGAAUCCUUCGCAAUGCGGGAAACCGCGACGAGGGGACUCCCAGUGCCUACGCUCAGCGUAGGCUGUUCCCGAGCCUAGAAAGCUCGGGGAGUAAGGGCUGGGUAAGACGGGUGCCAGCCGCCGCGGUAAUACCCGCAGCCCGAGUGGUGGCCACUAUUAUUGGGCCUAAAGCGUCCGUAGCCGGCCCGGUAAAUGCCUGGGUAAAUCGUGAGGCCUAACCUCACGAAUUCCGGGUAGACUGCCGGGCUAGGGACCGGAGGAGGGAGAGGGUACUCCAGGGGUAGGGGCGAAAUCCUGUAAUCCCUGGAGGACCACCGGUGGCGAAGGCGCUCUCCUAGGACGGGUCCGACGGUGAGGGACGAAAGCCAGGGGAGCGAACCGGAUUAGAUACCCCUGUAGU
rnacentral:rRNA from 1 species